rnacentral:rRNA from 1 species
CCUACGUGAGGCAGCAGUGGGGAAUAUUGCACAAUGGGGGAAACCCUGAUGCAGCGACGCCGCGUGAGUGAAUAAGUAUCUCGGUACGUAAAGCUCUAUCAGCAGGGAAGAUAAUGACGGUACCUGACCAAGAAGCCCCGGUUAACUACGACCCAGCAGCCGCGGUAAUACGUAGGGGGCAGGCGUGAUCCGGAUUUACUGGGUGUAAGGGGAGCGUAGACGGCAGCACAAGUCUGGAGUGAAAUCCCGGGGCUUAACCCCGGAACUGCUUUGGAAACUGUGCGGCUGGAGUGCAGGAGGGGUAAGCGGAAUUCUUAGUGUAGCGGUGAAAUGCGUAGAUAUUAGGAGGAACACUCGUGGCGAAGGCGGCUUACUGGACUGUAACUGACGUUGAGGCUCGAAGGCGUGGGGAGCAAAAGGGAUUAGAUACCCUGGUAGUC